rnacentral:lncRNA from 1 species
GCGCCGAGCCCCAUUCCCCCACCUCUCCAGCUCGCCCUCUGAGCCUCCCGAGCCCUCUCUCCAUUUCCCACAAUUGUGCUGGAGGCUGGGAUGGGUUUGAGAGUCUGAGAAAGGGCAAGAGAGGAGAUAAGCAGCUUAAAGCAGAGUCCAGGGAUGGAGGCGGGAGGCUGCAUGGACUCGGAGGGUGUCUGAGCUCCAGGUGCUUCUUGGCUUUGCUGGCCGGAACAAGAGUGGACGGAAGCACGAGCUCCUGGCCAAGGCUCUGCACCUCCUGAAGUCCAGCUGUGCCCCUAGUGUCCAGAUGAAGAUCAAAGAGCUUUACCGACGACGCUUUCCCCGGAAGACCCUGGGGCCCUCUGAUCUCUCCCUUCUCUCUUUGCCCCCUGGCACCUCUCCUGUAGGCUCCCCU